rnacentral:rRNA from 1 species
AGAGACCAUCUCUCGUACCUUUUGCAUCAUGAUUUAGCAAGUAAUACCCAAGCAAAAAGCAUUUUAGUUUGGUCCCCCGAAGCCAAGUGAGCUACUCCAAGACAACCUAUGAUUAGGGUAAACCCGUCUCUGUGGCAAAAGAGUGGGAAGAGCUUCGAGUAGAGGUGACAGACCUAUCGAACUUGGUUAUAGCUGGUUGCUUGAGAAACGAAUAGGAGUUCUGCCUCUUAUAUUCUUAUAACACCUCUGGCUUAUUAACUUAUUAAGCCCUCCACAGGUUUAAAGAAGAUAAGAAAGUUAAUCAAAGGGGGUACAGCCCCUUUGAGACAAGAUACAACUUUUUCAGGCGGGUAAAGAUCAUAACUCAUUAAGGCAUUCAUGUCUCGGUGGGCCUAAAAGCAGCCAUCCCCUUAGAGAGCGUUAUAGCUCCAACAUGUUUCCUCCCUCAAUCCUGACAACAAAUCUUACCCCCCUAACUAUAUCAAGCCGUCCCAUACACCCAUGGGAGCGAUUAUGCUAAAAUGAGUAAUAAGAGAACUUAACGCCUCUCUCCCUGUACACACGUAAAUCGGAGCGGACCCUCCACCGAAACUUAACGGCCCCAAACAAAGAGGGUAUUGGAUGGCAAACGAUAAACUAGAAAACCAUCCAAGACCUAACCGUUGACCCCACACCGGUGUACUUCUAGGGAAAGACUAAAAAGAAAAGAAGGAACUCGGCAAAUACCCCCAAGCCUCGCCUGUUUACCAAAAACAUCGCCUCUUGCUGAUCGCACAUAAGAGGUCCUGCCUGCCCCGUGACUCCUGGUUUAACGGCCGCGGUAUUUUGACCGUGCAAAGGUAGCGCAAUCACUUGUCUCUUAAAUGAAGACCUGUAUGAAUGGCAUGACGAGGGCUUAACUGUCUCCUUUUCUUGGUCAAUGAAAUUGAUCUUCCCGUGCGGAAGCGGGAAUACCUACAUAAGACGAGAAGACCCUGUGGAGCUUUAGACACUAGAACAGAUCACGUAAACUACCUCUUAAAAAGUAACAACAAUUGAAUCUCUGUUCCCCUGUCUUUGGUUGGGGCGACCACGGGGAAGAAAAAAACCCCCACGUGGGCUGGGAACAUAUAAUUCCUACAAUUACGAGCCACAGCUCUAGAACGCAGAAUUUCUGACCAAUGAGAUCCGGCAAUGCCGAUCAACGGACCUAGUUACCCUAGGGAUAACAGCGCAAUCCCCUUUAAGAGUCCAUAUCGACAAGGGGGUUUACGACCUCGAUGUUGGAUCAAGACAUCCUAAUGGUGCAACCGCUAUUAAGGGUUCGUUUGUUCAACGAUUAAAGUCUU